GAUGAACGCUGGCGGCGUGCCUAAUACAUGCAAGUCGAGCGAACGGACGAGAAGCUUGCUUCUCUGAUGUUAGCGGCGGACGGGUGAGUAACACGUGGAUAACCUACCUAUAAGACUGGGAUAACUUCGGGAAACCGUAGCUGAUACCGGAUAAUAUUUUGAACCGCAUGGUUCAAAAGUGAAAGACGGUCUUGCUGUCACUUAUAGAUGGAUCCGCGCUGCAUUAGCUAGUUGGUAAGGUAACGGCUUACCAAGGCAACGAUGCAUAGCCGACCUGAGAGGGGGAUCGGGCACACUGGAACUGAGACACGGACGAGACUCCUACGGGAGGGAGCAGUAGGGAAUUGUUCGCAAGGGGCGAAAGCCUGAAGGAGCAACGAAGCGUGAGAGAUGAAGGUAUUAGGAUCGUAAAACUCUGUUAUUAGGGAAGAACAGAUGAGUAAGUGAAUGUGCACAUCUUGCCGGUACCUAAUCAGAAAGCCAAGGAUAACUAAGUG
rnacentral:rRNA from 1 species